CAGGUUUAACACAUGCAAGUCGAGGGGCAGCAUGGUCUUAGCUUGCUAAGGCCGAUGGCGACCGGCGCACGGGUGAGUAACACGUAUCCAACCUGCCGUCUACUCUCGGACAGCCUUCUGAAAGGAAGAUUAAUACAAGAUGGCAUCAUGAGUCCGCAUGUUCACAUGAUUAAAGGUAUUCCGGUAGACGAUGGGGAUGCGUUCCAUUAGAUAGUAGGCGGGGUAACGGCCCACCUAGUCUUCGAUGGAUAGGGGUUCUGAGAGGAAGGUCCCCCACAUUGGAACUGAGACACGGUCCAAACUCCUACGGGAGGCAGCAGUGAGGAAUAUUGGUCAAUGGGCGAGAGCCUGAACCAGCCAAGUAGCGUGAAGGAUGACUGCCCUAUGGGUUGUAAACUUCUUUUAUAAAGGAAUAAAGUCGGGUAUGGAUACCCGUUUGCAUGUACUUUAUGAAUAAGGAUCGGCUAACUCCGUGCCAGCAGCCGCGGUAAUACGGAGGAUCCGAGCGUUAUCCGGAUUUAUUGGGUUUAAAGGGAGCGUAGAUGGAUGUUUAAGUCAGUUGUGAAAGUUUGCGGCUCAACCGUAAAAUUGCAGUUGAUACUGGAUAUCUUGAGUGCAGUUGAGGCAGGCGGAAUUCGUGGUGUAGCGGUGAAAUGCUUAGAUAUCACGAAGAACUCCGAUUGCGAAGGCAGCCUGCUAAGCUGCAACUGACAUUGAGGCUCGAAAGUGUGGGUAUCAAACAGGAUUAGAUACCCUGGUAGUCCACACGGUAAACGAUGAAUACUCGCUGUUUGCGAUAUACUGCAAGCGGCCAAGCGAAAGCGUUAAGUAUUCCACCUGGGGAGUACGCCGGCAACGGUGAAACUCAAAGGAAUUGACGGGGGCCCGCACAAGCGGAGGAACAUGUGGUUUAAUUCGAUGAUACGCGAGGAACCUUACCCGGGCUUAAAUUGCAGAUGAAUUACGGUGAAAGCCGUAAGCCGCAAGGCAUCUGUGAAGGUGCUGCAUGGUUGUCGUCAGCUCGUGCCGUGAGGUGUCGGCUUAAGUGCCAUAACGAGCGCAACCCUUGUUGUCAGUUACUAACAGGUUCCGCUGAGGACUCUGACAAGACUGCCAUCGUAAGAUGUGAGGAAGGUGGGGAUGACGUCAAAUCAGCACGGCCCUUACGUCCGGGGCUACACACGUGUUACAAUGGGGGGUACAGAGGGCCGCUACCACGCGAGUGGAUGCCAAUCCCCAAAACCUCUCUCAGUUCGGACUGGAGUCUGCAACCCGACUCCACGAAGCUGGAUUCGCUAGUAAUCGCGCAUCAGCCACGGCGCGGUGAAUACGUUCCCGGGCCUUGUACACACCGCCCGUCAAGCCAUGGGAGCCGGGGGUACCUGAAGUGCGUAACCGAGAGGAGCGCCCUAGGGUAAAACUGGUGACUGGGGCUAA
rnacentral:rRNA from 1 species